rnacentral:rRNA from 1 species
AUUGAACGCUGGCGGCAGGCCUAACACAUGCAAGUCGAACGGUAACAGGAAGAAGCUUGCUUCUUUGCUGACGAGUGGCGGACGGGUGGGUAAUGUCUGGGAAACUGCCUGAUGGAGGGGGAUAACUACUGGAAACGGUAGCUAAUACCGCAUAACGUCGCAAGACCAAAGAGGGGGACCUUCGGGCCUCUUGCCAUCGGAUGUGCCCAGAUGGGAUUAGCUAGUAGGUGGGGUAACGGCUCACCUAGGCGACGAUCCCUAGCUGGUCUGAGAGGAUGACCAGCCACACUGGAACUGAGACACGGUCCAGACUCCUACGGGAGGCAACAGUGGGGAAUAUUGCACAAAGGGCGCAAGCCUGAUGCAGCCAUGCCGCGUGUAUGAAGAAGGCCUUCGGGUUGUAAAGUACUUUCAGCGGGGAGGAAGGGAGUAAAGUUAAUACCUUUACUCAUUGACGUUACCCGCAGAAGAAGCACCGGCUAACUCCGUG